AUUAAUAAGCGGAGGAAAAGAAACUAACGAGGAUUCCCUCAGUAACGGCGAGUGAAGCGGGAAGAGCCCAGCGCCGAAUCGUCCGUCCCCGCGACGGCGCGAACUGUGGCGUUCAGGACAGCCGAUGGGGAUCGGCGUGGCGGUCCGAGUCCCUCUGAUCGGGGCUUCGCCCACAGCGGGUGGCAGGCCUCUACGGCCGCCGGCCGGUCCCCUAAGGUCGCCCUAGGAGUCGGGUUGUUUGAGAAUGCAGCCCAAAGCGGGUGGUAAACUCCAUCUAAGGCUAAACACAGACACGAGUCCGAUAGCGCACAAGUACCGUGAGGGAAAGUU
rnacentral:rRNA from 1 species